GGUGGUGAUGUUGGUGCUGGUGCUGGUGCUGGUGCUGAUGCUGACCUCUCCGGCUUGUUUCUGCUGGGCGUUCAGGGAGGUGUGUCGGUCUCCUCGCCGCAGAGGAGGAUUUCAGUAAAGAGGUCGUGGAUUCAGAUUUGGGAAAAGAGGAGCUCAUUGUUGCGGAUCUGUUCUAUUCUUUCUCGGGUCAGAUGAACCUGCUGUGGGGCCUGGGGGUGAAACUGAGCCAUGGGCCCCCAUUGAGACCCCCAACACCAACCAAUCAGCAAUUCUACACUGAGAUGACUCCUGCACAAGACUUGCUGUGGGGGCACUGGGGAACCCAUCAGCUACACCUAGAGGUUCUUGGACUCCAACAUAUCUAAUCAUUUCACUGCCUCUCAUAUUAUUACAUCUCUAUGCCCGUGCACAUCUUAUUUAAAUUCUAUGAGUUAGUUAGUGCGUAUUGCUCAAAUUAUAAUCCUUGCGCAUACACAUGCUACAGUAUCCUAACACUACACUGAGCAGUAUUGUAAACAUAAAUACUUUAGCUUGCUUUAAUUAU